rnacentral:rRNA from 1 species
GCCCUAGUAACGGCGAGUGAAGCGGCAACAGCUCAAAUUUGAAAUCUGGCUUCUUCGGCGUCCGAGUUGUAAUUUGCAGAGGGGGCUUUGGCAUUGGCAGCGGUCCAAGUUCCUUGGAACACGACGUCACAGAGGGUGAGAAUCCCGUACGUGGUCGCUAGCCUUUACCGUGUAAAGCCCCUUCGACGAGCUGAGUUGUUUGGGAAUGCAGCUCUAAAUGGGAGGUAAAUUUCUUCUAAAGCUAAAUACUGGCCAGAGACCGAUAGCGCACAAGUAGAGUGAUCGAAAGAUGAAAAGCACUUUGGAAAGAGAGUUAAAAAGCACGUGAAAUUGUUGAAAGGGAAGCGCUUGCAGCCAGACUUGCCUGUAGUUGCUCAUCCGGGUUUCUUCCCGGUGCACUCUUCUGUCGGCAGGCCAGCAUCAGUUUGGGCGGUUGGAUAAAGGUCUCUGUCAUGUACCUCUCUUCGGGGAGAACUUAUAGGGGAGACGACUUGCAACCAGCCUGGACUGAGGUCCGCGCAUCUGCUAGGAUGCUGGCGUAAUGGCUGUAAGCGGCCCGUCUUGAAACACGGACCAAGGAGUCUAACAUCUAUGCGAGUGUUUGGGUGUCAAGCCCGAGCGCGUAAUGAAAGUGAACGGAGGUGGGAACCUUUCGGGGUGCACCAUCGACCGAUCCUGAUGUCUUCGGAUGGAUUUGAGUAAGAGCAUAGCUGUUGGGACCCGAAAGAUGGUGAACUAUGCUUGAAUAGGGUGAAGCCAGAGGAAACUCUGGUGGAGGCUCGCAGCGGUUCUGACGUGCAAAUCGAUCGUCAAUUUUGGGCAU